AGAGUUUGAUCCUGGCUCAGAAUCAACGCUGGCGGCGUGCCUAACACAUGCAAGUCGAACGAGAAAGUGGUAGCAAUACCAUGAGUAAAGUGGCGCACGGGUGAGUAACACGUGACUAACCUACCCUGGAGUGGGGGAUAACUGAGGGAAACCUUAGCUAAUACCGCAUAAUACCUACGGGUCAAAGGAGCAAUUCGCUUCAGGAGGGGGUCGCGGCCGAUUAGUUAGUUGGCGGGGUAAUGGCCCACCAAGACAGUGAUCGGUAUCCGGCCUGAGAGGGCGCACGGACACACUGGAACUGAAACACGGUCCAGACUCCUACGGGAGGCAGCAGUGGGGAAUUUUGCGCAAUGGGGGAAACCCUGACGCAGCAACGCCGCGUGGAGGAUGAAGUCCUUCGGGACGUAAACUCCUUUCGAUCGGGACGAUAAUGACGGUACCGGAAGAAGAAGCCCCGGCUAACUUCGUGCCAGCAGCCGCGGUAAUACGAGGGGGGCGAGCGUUGUUCGGAAUUAUUGGGCGUAAAGGGUGCGUAGGCGGUUUGGUAAGUCUUAUGUGAAAUCUAUGGGCUCAACUCAUAGACUGCAUGAGAAACUGCCGGGCUUGAGUAUGGGAGAGGUGAGUGGAAUUCCUGGUGUAGCGGUGAAAUGCGUAGAUAUCAGGAGGAACACCUGUGGCGAAAGCGGCUCACUGGACCAUAACUGACGCUGAUGCACGAAAGCUAGGGGAGCAAACAGGAUUAGAUACCCUAGUAGUCC
rnacentral:rRNA from 1 species